UGGUAUGUGGCAUAGUAGUUUGAGUGUUGGACUAUGACUCUGGAGACCAGGGUUCGAAUCCCAGCUCAGCCA